GCUAUUUCAGCUGAAAGAGGUGGAGGGAUGGAGAAAGACCAUCUAUUUUUUCCUUAGUGAUUACACGCCCUUAGACUGGGGAGAGACCUUAGAGGAAAUUGCCAUUUUGGGGCCAGAACAGCUGCUGUCACAUAAUGCUAAAGAAACUUUAAUCAAAACUUGAGGAAAGCCAUAGCAGGCCUAGGCCAAUGGAGCCAGCUGAUGCAGCAUUGACUUACAAUCGGGUGCAACAGACAUAAAAAUGGAUGGAGCUUAGAAGAAACUUUAUGAAAAACAAUCUGAAGGAGACCCCAAAGGUGCUUUUUCAAGAGGCAACUGGACUUUCCGGUUUUUCUUUGAAGUCGUUUCGUUUCUCAUUCAAGAAGCUUCUUCAGGUCUGAAGGAGAGUACAUACAUGGUUAUUCUUUAAACUUUCUAUCGUAUGAUAUUGUGUCAACAGCUAAUGGUUGAAGCUGGCUUUUCUAUAGAUGCUAGAAAUAAACAGAAGAGAUGGAAACAAUUGUGAUUAAACAUACUGUCAGAGAAAAUGGAAAUGAUUACUUUACACACACGCUUGUGCAUUUGGUGCCAUGUUACUUGGUGCACUAACUGGUCCAUGGAUUUCACAAAGAGAAGAAAUGAAAAACAGCAACUAGCAACUGGAGCCAUGAAGCACAGCUUGUACUGGAAUAUGCUCAGUCACAUUCAAUUGGAUCCCCAUCGCAGCUUAACUCUCCACAGCUGUCACUGCAAAAGAAUUUCAUUUCAUACAGCCAAGCUGGUCCAGGGAUGAAGGAUGCCUCCUCCUUUUUAUUUCUCCUAAUUCGUAGCAUUUGUCUCAUUCUCCUACAAGCUGGAAUUAGAAGGAAAUCAGACCUGGCUGUGUCAUCAUCUAUAGUUACAGAGCAUCCUUUUUUUGAUGGCUAUUUUUAUAAACCAUGUUGAAAUGGUAUACAUGGAAAGUAACAAAAAUAACCUACUCCACAAGAUCUGGAAAAUGUUAUUUGCUUUAAAUUAGUGUGUUUACAAGAUCACUGGCAGAGUAAAGCCUCCCCAACCACCAGAGGAUGAGGAGUUCCCAGGCCCCAGAGAUCCCCAUUCUAGCAUUGCCUUGUUUCUGGGCACACUUUCAAACCAGGUUUUUGGCAAUUCACCAUUCUCUAUUUUCUAAGAAUCUCUUUCUGGGACAUUCUUGACAUAAUGUGGGAGACUAGCACUUUGCAGCAAGCCAGAAUCUCAUUUUUAAAAAGUAAAACGAUCUCCUUUUUUGGCUUUUAUUUUGCUGAAACAGAAAGUUUGGCAAGUGGUAAGGACAUUUCCCACUGUUCAUUUGUGCCUGUGGUUACUACAUAAAAGAUGGCAAUUUAAAUAAAUAAUAAGAUGGCAUAAAGAAUGCAUCUUCUGUACUGCAUGUGCUGGAUCGACAAAUUAUAUUUGGAUUCAUUGUGUAAGUGUGGGUGGGCAUGCACAUGCAUAUGUACGGCAGCAGAGCAAAAAUAAAAGUUAACUCAUCU